UCUCCACAUAUUUGAAGAUUCCAAAAAAUUCAUGUAACGUCUCAAUUACUUCUGAAUUUUCACAAGCCACACGCUUGAUAAAUCAUAAAUUUCGUGAACUCCAAUUUUAACAAAUGAGUACUUGACAUACAUGAAAACCGCUAUUCAACCUCGAGCUUCAAUUAUUAAAAAAAUAAAAAAUUGGAGUCCUACUGUAUUUUCAAAUAAUAAUUUCACAUAUUAAAAACUCAUAAAACUGUAAUUCGAUCAGUGAGAUUUCUUAGUUGGCAUUGAUUUAAAAAGAAAAAAAAAACAACUCACAUCCUUCCGGGUCUUGAGGUUUGCCAGCCUGUCAUUGCACUGGACAAUGAUCUCCCCAGAGUGCGCAACACUCGCAACCUCCAUUGGUGCCUGCGGCGUCGGCUCCUCAACGCCCUUCGCCCCACGUACUUGAUUAAUUUCACCAGGACCAUUCUCCUGAUGUCCAUGAAUUCCAAUAACUUCCAUAUCACCGUUAAAUGUCCGUAACGUACACAAACUCAUUAUCCUACCUCGUCACUCCUGACGCUGACUUGUCUCUUAUUUUUUUUUUUAUUAAUAAUAAUUUUUUUUUUAAUUCCCCACGGAAUUGAAUUUCACAGUGGUGGAGUAGCUGGAGCUGCUUACGAACCGUAUGCCAGAGGCGUAAACAGCGACUGAACAGCCAUGUUUGAUUCUCAACUGUGAUUCUCUCGCUUGGACGAUAGCAACUCGGCGGGGGCUGACAGUUUUUGUGGUGGGGGGGUUGAGCCCAUUGAGGGGAAAGGGGGGUGAUGGCAGUGAGGGGAGGGCAAUGAGGGGCAAGUGGGGAGGAAAGUCUUUUCUCCCUUACCCCACCCCUCUAGUCCCUGAUUCGCCUCUUUUGUACAUGUUUUUUUUUUGUCUUCUUCUCUUCACUCAACUUUUUUCCAACUUCUCACUUGCCCCCUUUUGCUUCACCAUCACUUCAUCUCUCACUUGGACACACGUAAUACGGGUGGAGAUGACAAACAAAACCGAGAACGUUGGGACAUCGGGAAUCCUGUCGAGUCAGGGACAAUAGGUUUUGGGUGAAUUUGGUAUCGAGAGACGAUGAUGAGACUCGAGUUUGCGAAAUCGUUCUUGCACGGUACGCCGGAGUUGAUUUUUAUUAUGUCGACUUUUUCCUAUUUUUUAUUUAUCUUCAGGGGUUUUAUUCUAGACAGGUUGAAGUCGCGGGGGCUCACGUGUUCUGGGGAGAGAGUCGGAUCCACUCGCGAGGAGGGGAGGGUAAUGAUAAUGAAAGGAGAAUUUAAUCUGUACAGGAGUGCGGGACUCUUUGUGUUGGUGCCUUGUGGAAGUUGAAAAACACCUCUUCUCGGUUACAAGUACGGGUUUACACGGCGCUUGCGUGUAUGUUACUCCAUGAAGGGGCUUUUGCAGUGAGAAAAAAAAAGUUCACUAAAUAUGUGUUUUUCCAAAUGAACCAAUUUCAUACUUUUAUUUUUAUCUUGCAUUUGAUGCGAGGAAUUUUUCGUCUCACUAA